UUCAAAUCAAACACUUCGAAUUCGAUUUAAAUUUCUCGCCCAAAUCGAAUUUCACUUUUUGAACCAUCGUCGAAGCAAGCUCCUUCGACCCCACUUUGAUUCGAUCGACGGAUCACCAUCGCCGGCCUGUGAGGAUGGUGGAGUCUCCGUAACCCGGUUGUUAUUUGAGUUAAUCUAUUCGAGAUUUCCCGCUACUUGGUGCGUCGGUCUCUAUUUGUUCGUGUCUCAUCACACUCGGUUGAAACCCGGAGUUACAGAACGGCCGUCGAUGGGAAGCCAUGGAUGAAGUUUGGUCCCAACCUCGACCAUGUUAUGAGGAAAUGCUCAACCCUUCUUAUUGCCCUCAAGGUGUUUGUGAAAAUGCCUCUUCCAAGUUUUUUUUGUCUAUUGAUCUUCAGUCUCAAUUCCGUUCAGCUUCUAAGAUUGGAAAAGUGUUUUGAGUUUCAUUUUCCAAGAAAGAAACAUCUGAUUUGGUUUCUGAUUUCAACUUUGCCCUUGUUGGGAAGUUCUCCCAUAGCUAUUGGUCGUGGAAAGAGCUCUUAGCUUCCUUCGAUAACCUCACAUCGUCCGUUUAAGGAGGUAAAGAGGGGUUUCUGGGGAGGACACGUGCUAUGUGGAUCCCUAUCUUUGAUUGGAAAAGAACAUGUGUUAUGGAAUAAAUUAAAAAAGAAGACAGUUGCCCAGCUGUGGUUAAGACCAGACAGAUUAUCAAGUUUCUGAAACAAAUCGAACAUCUAAUAAUGAUGCACCAGGUUCUUGGUCCUCUGUACUAGCCGUAGUGCUGUAAAUAAAAUUGACAUGGACACUGACUGCUUGGCUUACGAAAUCUUGUGGGAGUACUUGACUAUUGAGGAACAGAUUGGGCAAGGAUAUUGCUGGCAAGACAUUUUUCAAACAAGAUAAUGCAGUAUUUUUCUUCCCAUGGGCGGAACUUUGAAAUUCAGCUUGAGAUAUCAAAAAGGAGUUCCCGCUAGGUACUGUAACUGUUGGAGUACCCAUGUUAGUACAAGUUGUUUGCCACGCUCAUAAUCUAUGACAUUGAUUGUGGAUUCCAGCAUGGCUGCUAAUGACAACUCGGGCUUCCAAUCACCAAUGGUUAUUUCAGACAUUAACAAAUACAAAAUUAGAAGAUACACUAGAUUGGAGCACGUGUGCUUUUGCUUUCCCGGAGCUUGGAGAAACGUGUUCUCGGUGAAGGUGUGUUGUCCCUCCUUACACCAGUUGUUAUGGUUCCUGAGACCCCACUUAUACACCCUAAGAAUGUCCGAACGAAGAUCCUUGGCGAGGUACUCGUUGGAGAUAACAUUGAAUGGACAUACCAACAUCUGGUUUGCCGCCCCUGAUUUCUUGCCUCUGUGAUUCUGCAAUUGACGAGCUUGAUCGUACGAAGUAGUUGUUCCUAGAUUUCUUCAAAGAUUGUAUUUUCCGUUGAUGCUGGAUUGAACUUCUUAAGUAUUAUAUUUUUAAUUUGGGGAUCUUGUAUUAGUUAGUUGUUAUGAUGGUUUAGGGCAUGGUCAUGGUUAAUGAUGUUUCAAAGUACCUAUGACGGUUAUAUUUCUACUUUUGUCACGUCUAUGAACGUCAUUGGAUUGACGUCAUUUUGUAAGACUUGUAAAGCUUUUUGGAUUAUCUAUAUAGAAUUAUGCUUUUAGUUA